rnacentral:rRNA from 1 species
CCUACGGGAGGCAGCAGUAGGGAAUUUUCGUCAAUGGGGGAAACCCUGAACGAGCAAUGCCGCGUGAGUGAAGAAGGUCUUCGGAUCGUAAAGCUCUGUUGUAAGUGAAGAACGGCUCAUAGAGGAAAUGCUAUGGGAGUGACGGUAGCUUACCAGAAAGCCACGGCUAACUACGUGCCAGCCGCCGCGGGAAUACGUAGGUGGCAAGCGUUAUCCGGAUUCAUUGGGCGGACAGGGUGCGUGGGGUGCGUACUAAGUCUGUAGUAAAAGGCAAUGGACAAACCAUUGUAAGCUAUGGAAACUGGUAUGGCGGAGUGCAGAAGAGGGCGAUGGAAUUACAGGUGUAGCGGUAAAAUGCGUAGAUAUAUGGAGGAACACCAGUGGCGAAGGCGGUCGCCUGGUCUGUAACUGACACUGAGGCACGAAAGCGUGGGGAGCAAAUAGGAGUAGAUACCCUUGUAGUC